GGCUUGUUAGUCUAGGGGUAUGAUUCUCGCUUCGAUUGCGAGAGGUCUUGGGUUCAAAUCCUGCAUGAACCC
rnacentral:tRNA from 1 species